rfam:Volvox carteri f. nagariensis unplaced genomic scaffold VOLCAscaffold_8, whole genome shotgun sequence.
AAUCCGGUGUUUUUCAACACCACCAAGGCAAUGUUGGAAGAUUGGG